GAGAAGAUAACCUUAAGGCAACACUUCAUUUUUCUCCAGAGAAAAAUGCAUACAAGGGUCAACCAUUUGAGUCCCCUGUCAAAUGUUUGGCUGCUUUCCUCAGUCCUCCAUAGUGUUAAACUGUGACGCUGGUCGGAAACAGCCCCCACCCCCUCACCCCGUAUCACCCGUGCCUCUGUCUGUAAAAGCUCUGAAGUCAUAUUCCCCUGUAUUCACGUGCUCGGAGCAGCAGUGCAGAAAUGCUUGAGCAGAUGAUCAUAGCAAUGGCUGUUCUCCUUACCCUCUUCUGUGCUGAACUUACUGAAUCCUCCUCAAGCUGCUGUCUCCUCAAAGCCGAAAUAAAAAGAGUGGAUGAAAAUGCAACAGCAUUUGUGUCCUGUCCAGCACUUGCAAAGAAUGAAAAACCAUCUAUCUCUCUAUACAAGGGAGAUACCAAACUGCACUCAACAAACCUGAGUGAUGUGUACAGAAAUCAGUCACGGCAAGGCUUUCAGGUGUAUGUACAAAACUCCUCCGUCUCAUAUAUGAUUCUAAGAGCUGAAGCCAGAGACACAGGACUCUACAGUUGCAAAAUCGACACACAAAUCAAGACAUGUGCCUCCCAGACUAUCUUGCUCAUUAAAGAUGCUCUGCAGCCCAUAGACAGCCCAACUGUCACUUGUCCCAUUGAUCAGACACUUCCACUUGCGUUUGUUGUUAGCUGUGGGGUCAUCGCUGCAUUUGAUCUGUUCAUCACUGUCUUCGUCUGUUACCUCACAGUGAGUAUCCACAUCUGCAACCUCACACCAAAUGUCCUAAAUAAAUUCAUUGCCAAUUCAAAGUGUUUUAAAAUCAAGGUUUAUAUGUUGUUUCAUGUGCUAAAUUGCUGA
rnacentral:lncRNA from 1 species